UACGUGAGGGGCGAACGUUGUUCGGUUUCACUGGGCUUAAAGGGCGCGUAGGUGGCUGCGUAAGUAAGGUGUGAAAGCCCUCGGCUUACCCGGGGAAUUGCGCCUUAUACUGCGCGGCUUGAGGAUUUCAGGGGAAGGGGGAACUCCAGGUGUAGCGGUGAAAUGCGCAGAUAUCUGGGGGAAGGCCGGCGGCGAAGGCGCCCUUCUGGGAAAUUCCUGACACUGAGGCGCGAAAGCGUGGGGAGCAAACAGG
rnacentral:rRNA from 1 species